rnacentral:rRNA from 1 species
AGUGAACGCUGGCGGUAGGCCUAACACAUGCAAGUCGAACGGCAGCACAGUAAGAGCUUGCUCUUACGGGUGGCGAGUGGCGGACGGGUGAGGAAUACAUCGGAAUCUACUUUUUCGUGGGGGAUAACGUAGGGAAACUUACGCUAAUACCGCAUACGACCUACGGGUGAAAGCAGGGGAUCUUCGGACCUUGCGCGAUUGAAUGAGCCGAUGUCGGAUUAGCUAGUUGGCGGGGUAAAGGCCCACCAAGGCGACGAUCCGUAGCUGGUCUGAGAGGAUGAUCAGCCACACUGGAACUGAGACACGGUCCAGACUCCUACGGGAGGCAGCAGUGGCGAAUAUUGGACAAUGGGCGCAAGCCUGAUCCAGCCAUACCGCGUGGGUGAGGAAGGCCUUCGGGUUGUAAAGCCCUUUUGUUGGGAAAGAAAAGCAGCAGGUUAAUACCCCGCUGUUCUGACGGUACCCAAAGAAUAAGCACCGGCUAACUUCGUG